UCCGCGUUCUUUUUAAACAUAAUAAAGUUUCAAAAAUAAAACGAUACGCAAAUAAUAUUUCGCAGUUCUUCGGUGGUUAUUACGACGUGCAUCCAACAGCAGAUCCUGCGGAAUUUGGUUAUCCGGUGAAGGUUUUGCCGAAGGCAGUAGGACACUGGAAGGAUGACCAAAGUGAAUACCGGAGAAGGAAACAUCAAAAUCGUUGACGAUUUACGAGCAACUAGUGUUGAUAUUGUAUCAGUUCUGAAAACUGGGGCUUAUUCCUUCGACCGACGAAUCCGGAGGGAAGCCGGAAGUGUGCAGCAAGAAGCGAAGAUGACUGUUACUACUGCACUGGCCUGAGGAGAUUCGUUAGUGUCAUUGUCAAGGCUUUGAACGAUUUCCCAGCCGACAUUGAUCCACCCGAUGUGUAAGCCAACAGUAUACUCACGGAAUCAGCAUUCAUUGCAAUAUGUAGCAGCCAAAACCUUGAAACGUACACUUCAUGUGUAUUUUCCGGGGGUAACGGUUCCGUUCUCGAUCACGCCGCAAUGGCAGAAGUUCGGCAAGCAUACUGUUGGCGGUUGAAUUGCCAUACUAAAACAGUUGCAAUUCAAAACCGGUUGGUGCCACUAGAUCCCCUCGGAAAGAGCCGGAAAAACGCCGAGAAGGAACGGCAUAACGAAAACCGGCAAAUGACGCGAUGCAAAGGCUAUUUCAUGUUAGAUAUUUUGUGGAACACCGAACUAGCUUCUUCCUUCAAGCACCACUUAAAGUGGUAAAGCCACUGAGACGGAAAUAGCGGGAAGUAUGUCGACCAGUAAUCCUUCACACCAGCUGUUCUCAUCCGGAUGCGGCUGCUGAAGAUACGGUUCCCGGUUGUGAAUGCUGCUCCGUCAAAAACGGUCGAUGCUUGAUUAAGCGUAUAU